AGUAAACGUUGGCGGCGUGCCUAACACAUGCAAGUCGUACGAUCCUUAAGUGGCUUGCCAUUUAAGGAAAGUGGCGAACGGGUGAGUAACACGUGAGUAAUCUGCCCCUAAGUGAGGAAUAACUCCGCGAAAGCGGGGCUAAUACCGCAUGAAACUCUGAAGCAAACGCUUUCAGAGUCAAAGCCCCCUAGGGGGUGCUUGGGGAUGAGCUUGCGGCCUAUUAGCUAGUUGGUGGGGUAAUGGCCUACCAAGGUAAUGAUGGGUAGCCGGCCUGAGAGGGUGUACGGCCACACUGGAACUGCGACACGGUCCAGACUCCUACGGGAGGCAGCAGUGGGGAAUUUUGCGCAAUGGGCGAAAGCCUGACGCAGCGACGCCGCGUGGAGGAUUAAGGCCUUCGGGUUGUAAACUCCUGUCAGAGGUGAAGAAUACCCCCUUUGGGGGGUUUGACGGUAACCUCAGAG
rnacentral:rRNA from 1 species